AUGUUUGCUUUUAAGGAGUCUUACAUUUACCUUUGUUUACUAGACUCUGAUAUCGUAGAGACUGUCGUUACCUCUAACAUGGAGAACAAGACAGAGGUCCAUCCCCAAGAACAAACCUGGUCUCUAGAUGAGGAGCCAGCUAAGCCCGCUGUAAGGAGGACCCGCCAGCGGAAUGCUGUUGCAAUGGGAAAGCGGGGCCAGAAAGGCAAAAAGCGGGGACAGAAAGAUAAGAGGCGGGGUCAGGAGGAGAAGGAGGGUGUGACAGUGAAGAGGACGUGGACCGGUGGGAAGAGGAGGUGGGAUAAGAAACAUUACUGUGUGUUCUGCCGACGGCCGCAAGUGAAGAUCGCACGUCACCUGCUGAGGAAACACGCAGACCAGCAGGAAGUAGAGGCUGCCAGCUCGCUGCCAGCAGGGUCCAAACAGCGCCACCUGCUGUUGGAGCAUCUGCGCUGCAGAGGAAACUACCUGCACAACAUAGAGGUGAUCAGGCAGGGCAGUGGAGAAAUCGUCCCAUGUCGUCAACCCUCUGAGGAAGUUGAUGCUAGGAGCUACCUGCCGUGUCCUCUCUGCCUGGGUUUCUUUCUUCGUGCAGACCUCUGGAAACAUCAGGCCUCCUGUCGUAAGAAGCUGGCCUCUGACAUGUUCAGCGAUCCCCCCUCCACAGUAGAGACCCCCUUGGACUCCAUUAAGUAUCCAAUAUCUGAGUGUACAGGUCUGACAGCCUGUAGCCCCACGGAAGAAACCACUCUAAAGCUGACAGAGGACACACUUCCUGACCCCUCAGUAGACGUUGUCACAUAUCAUGCUGGGGCCACAGAAGCUGGGAGCAAACAGCCCGUGACCUCUGACCUCAGUGGGGAUCUGAAUGUGACUUCUCUGCCUGCAUUGGACCUGCCCAGGAAGCGUACAAGGGUCCAGGCUGAAGCGUCCCGCCUCCUCCCAAUUUCCAGCGGUGCAUCUGAAAGCUGCAGUGAGGUUCUUCACCGCAUGAACCAGGACCACGUUUCGUACCAGGUCAAGUCUGACUGGUUGAUCUGUAAAUUUGGAAACAAGUUGAUGGGAAACCAGGAUGGCAACCAGAGGAGGUACGACUAUGUCAGUCAGAAACUGAGGGAACUCGGUAGGUUCCUCCUGGCUGCUAAAUCCCUGGACUCUCAAAUUCAUAACCUCCAGGAUGUUCUGGCUCCUGGCCAUUUGAGCCUGGCCUUGGCUGCAGCCAGAAAAGCGUCUGGGUACCGGUGGAGCCGCCCUCCUCUGGCAAUGAAGACGACACUGAAGACGGUUUGUGAGAUCGCUAUCGGAGAGAGUCUGCAGGAUGGAGACUGGGAGGGUGCAGCUAGGACCACGGACUUCUACCACAUGCUAGGGAGGGACUGGGACAACCUGGAGCUGCUGUACCCUGACCCCGACAAAGAAGAAGCCAUUGUGAAGAAACGAUUAGUCCAAUCAAGAAAUGAGAAGUUUAAGGAUGGAGGCCGAGACCAGUCUGACCCCGGUCCAGAGGGUCUGUGUAGAAGUAAUGACAAAAGGUUGACCUCCAGGAUCCCACUAGAAACCAGACUGCAGACUGCUAACCCAGGACUCCACACAGUUCUGAUGGCUCCUAAGAAAGUGCGCCGUCGCCCCUGGUCAACGGCAGAGAAGGAGGCAGUCUGGAGACAACUGGGAGUCCAUGUGCUGUUCCAGUCUGUACCAGGGAAGGAGGUGUGUCAGCGCUGUCUGGACUUAGAACCCGUCCUCAGAGGGCGGCACUGGAAGGACAUCAAGAAUCAAGUCCACAACCAAAUACAAAGUCAGAAGAAGCAGCAGUUCCACGCCCAGGUGGACCUUCAGGCGAACCAAGAGCAACAAGACAAAAACCAGAAGCAGCAGCAGUACCAGGCCCCCAUGGACCGACAGGAUAAGGAUCACACCCAGAACCGAAGGAAACCGCAGUGCCAUCCACAGAUGGAUCAUCACAACCAAGACAACAUUGAAGAUCAAAGGAAGCAGCAGUACCACAUUCAGAUGGAGCACCAGGAACAAGACCUCAUGCAGAGCCAGAAGAAACAGCAGUACCUCACUAGACUAGACCACCAGGAAGAAGUCCAGGACCAUAAGAAGCAGCUCUACCCAAUGGAUCAGCCGACACAGGAACUACAGGCCACGCUUGAUCGAGACACUUCUUUACUUACACCUUAUGGACCUGAUGGGCCUCAUCGGGUCAUAGGACACCCCCCUGUGGACAGGGACCCAAUUAUCAGUCUAUACCCACUUCCACAGCGGACCCCAGCGCCUCACAUGGACCAGCUUCUAGGCAGAACUGAGUGGACUGAUGACUCUUUGGCACAGAACUACCCACUCAGCAGGCAUCUGGCCAGGAGCCUGAUCCAGGAAGUGGCCCCUGGGUCAGUGCUGCCCAACCCACACUCAGGACAUGUCCACUUCUGA
ensembl:lncRNA uncharacterized LOC114866763